GGCAGCGCGGGGAGGCUGCGGGCGGGCUUCGGGCGCUGGGAGAAAAGCCCUUCCUGAAGGUGCUGCGACACCCGCGCUAAAAACCGCCUUCAGCCAGAAGCUGCAGCCGCACCGAGGACCAAGCGAGGCGGUCUCUCGGUUUCCCCCCGUUCCCCUUCUCCCAAAGCUACGUCGAAGCCCACCUCUGGAGGGGACUCGCAGGCCUUGCGUGAGGCAGCGUGAGGGAAAGGGACCCGGUGCGCGUCUGGCGGCAGGACCCCGGGUGCCAAGUGCCUAGAGGUAGGGCCCUGAUGGGGAGACCUGAAAGCUACACCUCUGGAACCGUGGCGGUGUUGGUUGGCCAAAAACGUCCCCGAGGUGGCUGUCCUGUCUGCGCGGUGCUGUGCGGAGAGAUGCAGCCUCGGUCCUUGCUUCGUUGUAGAGGCGCUUGCACACCGCAGCCCUAAAAUAACCACCCUUCGCGGUCCUGCUUCCCUCUACCUGCAAACGUAAGGCACGCUUCUAUAGCAGAGGUUUUAAUCGGGGAUGGAGUGAAGAGAACAAGGGCUGCGGGGAGGGAUUUCCAUUUGCUGAGGCUCACAGCCUGGCCUUUCCUUUGGAGAGCGGAUGCCUACAUACAGCCUAUUUCUGUUCCCUCGAAGAAUUAAUUAUUUUCUCCUGUAUGUGGCCCCUGCAGGAAGAAGUCCAAGCACCUCCCUCCCCCUGUCAUUCUGUAUCUCCAGCGAUCAGAGCGCUUCCUUAGGAGCUGGAGAUGUGGCUCCUGGUCCUUUUCCCAGAACUUCGUGUUUUGUCCUCUGACAAACGUUCAAUGUAAAGUACAUGGAGCAGACUUGGAAGAGGGGACUGAAAUCCAAGGCUGUUCCCCUCCCUUCCCCAUGGCAAUAUUAUUAUUGCUAGGUCAUGGCCUCUCCUUGAAUCCUGAAUCCCCACCCUCUCCCCCAGGCAGCAGUACGGGUUCAACAGGCUGGUUCAAAAUGGAGUGUGUGUUAGGCUAGCAUACCUCCCAGUAGAUACUCUUUGGGCUAGCCUACCUCCCGGGUAAGAUACUCUUCAGGAAGGUCGGGGGCAGCAGCGGGAGAAGCUGACCUUGGGUCUCCUGGUGUGGGGAGCACCUGCAAGGCACACAGAGGGAAGGAAGUGCCCCCCUGGGGAGUUGAGAAAGGGUUCAAAGGGGCUGGUGAAGUGUUAAGCAAAAGCAGUCGGUGGCUCAGCACAUGGUGGGGAAGUUGAUGAUAAGCAUUUGCAGCUGGUUCUCUCUCUCUCCCACCCUGGAGGAACUGGGUGGCUGCUGACUCAGGAGCUGCAUCAAGUCAGAGAAAUGGGAAGGGGGUCACAUUUCCUGAGUGCCCGAGACACACUGCAGCGGGUGAUGGGAUAGCGACGGGCACCUCCUACCUGCUGUCCCGUCUUGGAAGAGCGAUCACAGCAGCGUGCUGUAAGGAGCUGGAGCCCUCUGGAAUGUUGGGACUAAUCAUGUGAGAAAAGAUCCUGGAGUGAUGAGGCAGCAUAUUUCCCAUGUCUGAGGUCAGCUUCACAGAACAAAUCCUGACCUUUAAAACAGCCUGAAAAUGAGGAACGUGGCACCAGAGAGCAGAGCAGGAAACAUGAAAUGAUACACACAAGGCUGCGCUGAGAGGCCUGAUGCACCUGCCGGAGGCUCUGCUGCGAUGGACGUCUUUCCUCUCCAGUGUCAGUGCGAGCCCUUAGACCGCCACUGGGCAGGAAAAGGAUGCCCCAGCCUGUUGCUGCCCCUCUGGUCAGAAGCCCUGCUAACCUGUCGGGAAAGAGGGUUCGGAAGGAGAAAGCGAGGGAGUCGCUUCAUCCUUCUCCCUCCUUGGAGGCUGGUUCUGUGUUAAGGCGGCAUUUAUCUCUCUUGGUAAAGGGGGUGGCGGUGGGGAGCACUCCCAGGUACUGGAGCUCAGCUGGGUCCAUGGCGAGACUGCAGAAUGGUCCCUGGCACAGCAUUGGCCCAGGCUGCUAGUGCUUUCCCAAACAAUUCCCAGGCAUAGAUGUAAAAACUCUGGCUGCAGCCACUCCACUUUGAUAGGUAAGAGAGUUUAACAGCCUGGACACGGCUGCUCUGUGUCCGUUGGCUUUUUUAUCCCUAUGGAUGUUGUCUGGGUGUGCCUGGGGCAAUCUGUGCGGUACCCCGCGCAGGGGCAGCCUUGCUUUCCAAUGUUGAAUCACAUCACGGUGAAUGAGCAGGGAGACAGCCUUGUCAUGCUUUGUCUUCACCUGCUGAGAUCGCAGCACCAGUGAAGGUGACUGAUGGCUGGUUUUCGGUUGCUCCAAAUACCAGCCAGAAGGAAGCCAGCUUGCAUCUGCCUAAGACUCUGAAUAGUUUUGUUGGGUUUUUUUAAGAGUCCUAAGGGACAAGCAACUGGAUAUGAGCACAUACCGUAUUUAUGAGACUGGCACUGGGAUGGCUUGUGUGUUUUAAAUUGAUGUUGAAAAAUGGGUGGUGGAACAUUAGAGCCACACAAAAUGAUUCAGAGCCUGGAGAAAAUGCUUUGCAAUGGGAGACGUGAAGCAGUCGCUCUCUCUAGCUUAUCAAAGAAGACUGAGCAGGGAAUUGAUUAUGAUGGUGAAGGAACUUCCUUGGGAGAAAAAUAUCAGGUACUGAAAGGCUCUUUAAUCUAGUAAAUUAUGGGAAUGUGUAGCAGCAAGCUGAAACCAGAUAAAUUCAUAUGAAAAACUGGGCACAAAUUUAUUGGAAUGAAGGUGAUUAAUCACUGUAACAAGCUGUCAGGGCGGUUGGCGCGUUUUCCAGAUGUGUCUGAGCCAAGACAGGCAUGUUUCUGAUGGAUGUGUGCUAACUACAGUUAAAAGCAUGAGUGACACUGUAGUCAAGACUCAGGCAAGGUAAGCAGGUGAAGUUUGAAGGGCUGGGAUAUGCAAGAGGUCUGACUAACAGUUCCCAAAGGAGCCGUGAAGAUCUAAUGGUUCCCAUCUGUCCUUAACCUCUGAGAGACUGAGAAAAACAGCACUUAGCAGAAAGCGGAAGGGAAGAAUCAAAAUGACAGCCCCGUUGCUGGCACACUAAUACACCCUCUGUUUCUGCAAGGACUGUAUCUUUCACCUGCUUGGGGCUUUGCUAAUGUAUUCUCAACUCCCAUCGCAAGACCAAUCUUUCUCCAGACCA